GCCAGGCGUGGUGGCACACGCCUGUAAUCCCAGUGGCUCAGGAGGCUGAGGCAGGAGGAUCAUUCAAAGCCAGCCUCAGCAACUUAGCGAGGCCCUGUCUCUA
rnacentral:sRNA from 1 species